rnacentral:rRNA from 1 species
AAUAGAUACCCGGGUAGUCCACGCCGUAAACGAUGUCGACUUGGAGGUUGUUCCCUUGAGGAGUGGCUUCCGGAGCUAACGCGUUAAGUCGACCGCCUGGGGAGUACGGCCGCAAGGUUAAAACUCAAAUGAAUUGACGGGGGCCCGCACAAGCGGUGGAGCAUGUGGUUUAAUUCGAUGCAACGCGAAGAACCUUACCUACUCUUGACAUCCAGAGAACUUUCCAGAGAUGGAUUGGUGCCUUCGGGAACUCUGAGACAGGUGCUGCAUGGCUGUCGUCAGCUCGUGUUGUGAAUGUUGGGUUAAGUCCCGCAACGAGCGCAACCCUUAUCCUUUGUUGCCAGCGGUCCGGCCGGGAACUCAAAGGAGACUGCCAGUGAUAAACUGGAGGAAGGUGGGGAUGACGUCAAGUCAUCAUGGCCCUUACGAGUAGGGCUACACACGUGCUACAAUGGCGUAUACAAAGAGAAGCGACCUCGCGAGAGCAAGCGGACCUCAUAAAGUACGUCGUAGUCCGGAUUGGAGUCUGCAACUCGACU